UACGGAGGGUGCAAGCGUUAAUCGGAAUUACUGGGCGUAAAGCGCACGCAGGUGGCUGAGUCAGUCGAUUGUGAAAGCCCUGGGCUCAACCUGGGAAUUGCAGUCGAUACUACUCAGCUAGAGUAUGGGAGAGGGCAGUGGAAUUCCCGGUGUAGCGGUGAAAUGCGUAGAUAUCGGGAGGAACAUCAGUGGCGAAGGCGGCCUGCUGGGCAGUUGCUGACACUGAGGCGCGACAGCGUGGGGAGCAAACAGG
rnacentral:rRNA from 1 species